rnacentral:rRNA from 1 species
GACGAACGCUGGCGGUGUGCUUAACACAUGCAAGUCGAACGGUAAGGCCCUUUCGGGGGUACACGAGUGGCGAACGGGUGAGUAACACGUGAGUAACCUGCCCUCAUCUCUGGGAUAACAGUCGGAAACGGUUGCUAAUACUGGAUAUGAGCUUGCAAGGCACCCUGUGGGUUGGAAAGAUUUUUUUUGGUUGGGGAUGGACUCGCGGCCUAUCAGCUUGUUGGUGAGGUAGUGGCUCACCAAGGCUUCGACGGGUAGCCGGCCUGAGAGGGCGACCGGCCACAUUGGGACUGAGAUACGGCCCAAACUCCUACGGGAGGCAGCAGUGGGGAAUAUUGCACAAUGGACGGAAGUCUGAUGCAGCAACGCCGCGUGCGGGAUGACGGCCUUCGGGUUGUAAACCGCUUUCAAUUGUGACGAAGCUUUUUUGUGACGGUAGCAGUAGAAGAAGCACCGGCUAACUACGUG